GAGGUGAUAAACCUACCGAGUUCAGUUAUAGCUGGUUGCCCGAGAACUGAGUAUAAGCUCAGCCUUUUGGCUUCUUAACUCCAUAACUAUUUAUAUUAACCCGACUUUAAGAAACCAAAAGAGUUAAUCAAAGGGGGUACAGCCCCUUUGAUACAAGAAACAACUUUUAACAGGAGGAUAAGGAUCAUAAAAAAUCAAGGCACCGCGCUUAAGUAGGCUUAGAAGCAGCCACCACAAGAAAGCGUUAAAGCUCUAGCACAUCCCUGCCACAAAUACCAAUAAAACACUCCUAACCCCUUCCCCUACCGGGCUUUUCUAUGCUUCCAUAGAAGAAAUUAUGCUAAAAUGAGUAAUAAGGGGCCGACCCCCUCCAAGCACAAGUGUACAUCAGAACGAACCCCCACCGAAAUUCAACGGACCCAACCAAAGAGGGAAAUAAAUAUUAAACUCACAACAAGAAAAACAUUUAACACUUUUCCGUUACCCCUACACUGGUGUGCCAAAUAGGAAAGACUAAAAGAAAAAGAAGGAACUCGGCAAACUCAAAGCCUCGCCUGUUUACCAAAAACAUCGCCUCUUGCUUCAGUGAAUAAGAGGUCACGCCUGCCCUGUGACUAUAUGUUUAACGGCCGCGGUAUUUUGACCGUGCAAAGGUAGCGCAAUCACUUGUCCUUUAAAUGUGGACCUGUAUGAAUGGCAUAACGAGGGCUUAGCUGUCUCCUUUCUCAAGUCAAUGAACUUGAUCUCCCCGUGCAGAAGCGGGGAUAAAACCAUAAGACGAGAAGACCCUAUGGAGCUUUAGACAAAAAACAGCCCCUGUCAAUAAACCCUAAAUAAAGGGAAUAAACCUAGUGAACCUGUUUUAAUGUCUUUGGUUGGGGCGACCGCGGGGUAACAAAAAACCCCCAUGUGGAAUGAAAACACCCUUUUUAAACCCAAGAGUCACCACUCUAGGAUACAGAACAUCUGACCAAUAAUGAUCCGGCUAAAGCCGAUUAACGAACCGAGUUACCCUAGGGAUAACAGCGCAAUCCUCUUUUAGAGUCCAUAUCGACAAGAGGGUUUACGACCUCGAUGUUG
rnacentral:rRNA from 1 species